rnacentral:rRNA from 1 species
AUACGGGGGGGACGAGCGUUGUUCGGAUUUACUGGGCGUAAAGGGCGCGUAGGCGGGCCCUCAAGUCGGGUGUGAAAACUGGUGGCUCAACUGCCAGCCUGCAUUCGAUACUGAGGAUCUUGAGUACGGGAGAGGAAAGCGGAAUUCCAGGUGUAGCGGUGAAAUGCGUAGAUAUCUGGAAGAACACCGGUAGCGAAGGCGGCUUUCUGGACCGAUACUGACGCUAAAGCGCGAAGGCUUGGGUAGCAAACAGGAUUAGAAACCCCAGUAGUCC